rnacentral:tRNA from 1 species
GACAACGUACUCAAGAGGCUUAAGAGGCAAGUCUGCAAAACUUGUAUUCGAGGGUUCGAAUCCCUCCGUUGUCU